rnacentral:rRNA from 1 species
CCGUACGGGAGGCAGCAGGUGGGGAAUUUUGGACAAUGGGCGAAAGCCUGAUCCAGCAAUGCCGCGUGAGUGAAGAAGGCCUUCGGGUUGUAAAGCUCUUUUGUCAGGGAAGAAACGGUGAAAGCUAAUAUCUUUUGCUAAUGACGGUACCUGAAGAAUAAGCACCGGCUAACUACGUGCCAGCAGCCGCGGUAAUACGUAGGGUGCAAGCGUUAAUCGGAAUUACUGGGCGUAAAGCGUGCGCAGGCGGUUUUGUAAGUCUGAUGUGAAAUCCCCGGGCUCAACCUGGGAAUUGCAUUGGAGACUGCAAGGCUAGAAUCUGGCAGAGGGGGGUAGAAUUCCACGUGUAGCAGUGAAAUGCGUAGAUAUGUGGAGGAACACCGAUGGCGAAGGCAGCCCCCUGGGUCAAGAUUGACGCUCAUGCACGAAACGACGGUAGGGGAGGACGAAACGAAGGAAGUUAAGUAAUACCCUACGGUAGGUACCGUACCGACCCGUAAACCGAACUAGUCUACUAGUUGGUUCGGGUUCGUUAAUUAGUACGUUAGGUUAACGGUACGAGACGUAACGACGUGAAGUAAGACCGCCGUCGGGGUAAGGUACGGGUCGGUUCGAAGUAAGUUAAAACGUUAACGAAAGGAAGUUAGACGGCGNGAGACGNGCCGACGGACGACGACGAGGGAGGAGGAG